CGUCACGUUCUCUCUCUUUCCUCUGUCUCUGUGUCUCUCUCUCGAUCACACCGAGACCUAUCUACUCUUCCUUCAAUUUCUUCUCCCCCUCGUGAUUUGCGCUCUAAUCUUCACAACACCUUCAAUUUUUACAGCCCUUCGUAGCAGUUUCCCUGUUUCUCUCUCUAAAAUCACAACACCAUCACGUUAUCUCUUUCCUCUGUCUCUAUACCGAGACCUAUCUCCUCUUCCUUCGAUUUCUUCUCCCCCUCGUGAUUUGCGCUCUAACCUUCACUUUCGCUCUCUUUCUCUCUUCUAGUCCUAACGAAGAAACAAGCCCCCGUGUUCCUAACCCUAACUCACUGAGUUCACUUCGCGUGCCUCGCCUCGAACUCCGAAGGAAGCAGCUUCGCGGGCACUCGCACGCUCGAUUGAGUCUCCCGAGACAAGGGAAGACAAACAUGCUUGUGGCAUGUGGCCUUACCGGCAUGGAAUUACCUCAAUGAACAAGCGCUUGUUAUCAAGAGAUUAUACAAGUACAGCUGAUGUGGAAUCAAGAAUUUAUGUCGAUACAAAUGCCAUGACAUAAAAAUCAGGUAAUACUAUGUCGAAGCAAAGAAAAUGAUGUCCUGAUUUCAGAAAUUUAAAAGCAUUUGACAGCUUUGAAGACUUGGCUGUAGGCUGUAUAGGAAAACUUGAGAGGAAGGUGAAAUUCUUGAGAAAAACUAGCCCAUAUGAAUUCACAACAAAAACUUAUAUCCUACCCCAAGAAACAAUACAGGUUGGUCAUGAAGCAUGCUAAAAAUAAGUGCUUCAAUGCAGAGUCAACUAUACAACAACUAAUGACUCUGGUUAACCAUACAGCUGCACGUGGUGUUCAAUCUUUUUCUUCAACUUUUGCCCUUUUUGUGAAUGCUUCGCAUUGCUAGAUGGCUCAGCUUAUACAAGGGAAGACAAGCAUGCUUGUGGCAUGUGGCCUUACCGGCAUGGAGUUAGCUCAAUGAACAAGCGCUUGUUAUCAAGAGAUUAUACAAGUACAACUGAUGUGGAGUCAAGAAUUUAUGUCGAUACAAAUGCCAUGAAAUAAAAAUCGGCGACAAGAGCUUCAUCCCCUUUUGACUUCCUCUUUCUCUUCUCCUUCUGUUGCUCGGCUUGCUUCAGACACAGAGACCAUUUGUUUUCUUACAAGAAAUAUCAAGAACCAAAAGACAAAUUCCUCCAGCUAACUAUUCCUUGAAAGUGCACUCAUACUCCUUGUUGUCAGAAGCUGAAGAAUAUGAAAGUGGUGCCUUCGAAUCCGACAGCUUCAAAGCAAAAUUCAAUUUUAUCUCCCAGUUUCUCUUACGCACACUGCACAUCCACGGUCUCAGUUGUUUUCGUUCGGCC